rnacentral:lncRNA from 1 species
AUGGAUCUACGGGAUCCUUAAAGACUUCCAAGGGUAGGUUAGCCUUCGGUUCCUCAUUUUCUUCCCCAUCUGGGAGUGGAUGAAAAGAGUGAGUUCUAUAUGUUCAAUAAGGAAAAUAAUAUUAAAUUAACAUUGUAAGGUUUUAAGGUGAAUGAUUUUAAAUUACAAGCUUACCAUUUGGGCACCUUGUAGACCGAUA